rnacentral:rRNA from 1 species
GACGAACGCUGGCGGCGUGCCUAAUACAUGCAAGUAGAACGCUGAAGAGAGGAGCUUGCUCUUCUUGGAUGAGUUGCGAACGGGUGAGUAACGCGUAGGUAACCUGCCUGGUAGCGGGGGAUAACUAUUGGAAACGAUAGCUAAUACCGCAUAACAUUGAUUAUUGCAUGAUAAUUAAUUGAAAGAUGCAAUUGCAUCACUACCAGAUGGACCUGCGUUGUAUUAGCUAGUUGGUGAGGUAACGGCUCACCAAGGCGACGAUACAUAGCCGACCUGAGAGGGUGAUCGGCCACACUGGGACUGAGACACGGCCCAGACUCCUACGGGAGGCAGCAGUAGGGAAUCUUCGGCAAUGGGGGGAACCCUGACCGAGCAACGCCGCGUGUGUGAAGAAGGUUUUCGGAUCGUAAAGCUCUGUUGUAAGAGAAGAACGGGUGUGAGAGUGGAAAGUUCACACUGUGACGUAU